rnacentral:rRNA from 1 species
UACGAAGGGGGCUAGCGUUGCUCGGAAUUACUGGGCGUAAAGGGCGCGUAGGCGGACAGUUAAGUCGGGGGUGAAAGCCCGGGGCUCAACCUCGGAAUUGCCUUCGAUACUGGCUGUCUUGAGUUCGGGAGAGGUGUGUGGAAUGCCGAGUGUAGAGGUGAAAUUCGUAGAUAUUCGGCGGAACACCAGUGGCGAAGGCGACACACUGGCCCGAUACUGACGCUGAGGCGCGAAAGCGUGGGGAGCAAACAGG